rnacentral:SRP_RNA from 1 species
GCUGGGCGUGGUGGCAUGCGCCUGUAAUCUAGUUACUUGGAGGCAAGGGUGCGGGGUUUCAUGGGACCGGGAGUUCUGGCAUAUGGGUGCUCAUGUUGGUCGGGCUUCCACGUUAAACACGGCACCGAUAUGGAUGACCUGUUGGAGGGUGAAUUGUUUAGGUCGUCUAAGGAGGGGCUGACCGGUCCAGGGGGAAACCCAGCAGACAAAAGUCCCCGCGUGGUGCGGUAGCGGGAGAGCACCUGUGAAUGGUGUCCAUCUGAUAGCUCGGUUGGCGCAUGAAGAUUCAAU